AAUUUCUUAAAAUUUUAUUUAUUAGAUUCUCUGAAAUAAAAUGAGAUGAUACAAAAAAAAAAUGAACUGUAGUUCAUUUCUUCCUAAGUUCAUCUACUAUUUCAUAUAUAUCGGCGAGAAUCUUGUUGUUGAUCAGGAUGUCAACCUCUAGUUCAAAAGUCCUAGCCAUCAACUUGUCGAUGAGGGCGUGCAUCUCUUGCUGGAAUAUCUCCAGCUUCUCCCUCAAAGGCAUCUCCUCCUCUUCGGAGGCUGCCUCUUCCCCAUUAUUGACUCUUGGAUCUCUGGAUGCCAUUUUACAAUAAUAUGAGAUUGAUU
rnacentral:lncRNA from 1 species